rnacentral:rRNA from 1 species
AUACGGAGGGUGCAAGCGUUAUUCGGAAUCACUGGGCGUAAAGGACGCGUAGGCGGGUUGGCAAGUCAGAUGUGAAAUCCUACAGCUUAACUGUAGAACUGCAUUUGAAACUGCUAACCUAGAGUAUGGGAGGGGGAGAUGGAAUUAGUGGUGUAGGGGUAAAAUCCGUAGAUAUCACUAGGAAUACCGAAAGCGAAGGCGAUCUCCUGGAACAUAACUGACGCUAAGGUGUGAAAGCGUGGGGAGCAAACAGGAGUAGAAACCCUAGUAGUCC